ACCACUUCUUGGCCUUUUGGCUAAGAUCAAGUGUAUUAUAUUGUACUUCUGUUCAUCAUAUACUUUGUCUUUUAU
rnacentral:snRNA from 1 species